rnacentral:rRNA from 1 species
AAAGCGGGUGAAAAGCCCGCUCGCCGGAAGACCAAGGGUUCCUGUUCAACGUUAAUCGGAGCAGGGUGAGUCGACCCCUAAGGCGAGGCUGAAAAGCGUAGUCGAUGGGAAACGGGUUAAUAUUCCCGUACUUGUGGUAACUGCGAAGGGGGGACGGAGAAAGUUAGGCUAUCCGGGCGACGGUUGUCCCGGUUUAAGCGUGAAGGUGGAGAGACUAGGCAAAUCCGGUCUUUCAUUAACACUGAGGCGUGAUGACGAAGCACUACGGUGCUGAAGUAGCUGAUACUACGCUUCCAGGAAAAGCCUCUAAGCAUCAGGUUACCAGAAAUCGUACCCCAAACCGACACAGGUGGUCAGGUAGAGAAUACUCAGGCGCUUGAGAGAACUCGGGUGAAGGAACUAGGCAAAAUGGUGCCGUAACUUCGGGAGAAGGCACGCUGAUGGUAGGUGAAGUCCCUUGCGGAUGGAGCUGAACUCAGUCGAAGAUACCAGCUGGCUGCAACUGUUUAUUAAAAACACAGCACUGUGCAAACACGAAAGUGGACGUAUACGGUGUGACGCCUGCCCGGUGCCGGAAGGUUAAUUGAUGGGGUUAGCGAAAGCGAAGCUCUUGAUCGAAGCCCCGGUAAACGGCGGCCGUAACUAUAACGGUCCUAAGGUAGCGAAAUUCCUUGUCGGGUAAGUUCCGACCUGCACGAAUGGCGUAAUGAUGGCCAGGCUGUCUCCACCCGAGACUCAGUGAAAUUGAAAUCGCUGUGAAGAUGCAGUGUACCCGCGGCAAGACGGAAAGACCCCGUGAACCUUUACUAUAGCUUGACACUGAACAUUGAGCCUUGAUGUGUAGGAUAGGUGGGAGGCAUUGAAACGUGAACGCCAGUUUGCGUGGAGCCGACCUUGAAAUACCACCCUUUAAUGUUUGAUGUUCUAACGUUGUCCCGUAAUCCGGGAUACGGACAGUGUCUGGUGGGUAGUUUGACUGGGGCGGUCUCCUCCUAAAGAGUAACGGAGGAGCACGAAGGUUAGCUAAGCAUGGUCGGACAUCAUGCGGUUAGUGCAAAGGCAGAAGCUAGCUUAACUGCGAGACGGACAGGUCGAGCAGAUACGAAAGUAGGUCUUAGUGAUCCGGUGGUUCUGAAUGGAAGGGCCAUCGCUCAACGGAUAAAAGGUACUCCGGGGAUAACAGGCUGAUACCGCCCAAGAGUUCAUAUCGACGGCGGUGUUUGGCACCUCGAUGUCGGCUCAUCACAUCCUGGGGCUGAAGUUGGUCCCAAGGGUAUGGCUGUUCGCCAUUUAAAGUGGUACGCGAGCUGGGUUUAGAACGUCGUGAGACAGUUCGGUCCCUAUCUGUCGUGGGCGUUGGAUGAUUGAGGGG